UACGAAGGGGGCUAGCGUUGUUCGGAUUUACUGGGCGUAAAGCGCGGGUAGGCGGAUCGUUAAGUCGGGGGUGAAAGCCCAGAGCUCAACUCUGGAAUUGCCUUCGAUACUGGCGGUCUGGAGCAGAGAAGAGGCGCGUGGAAUUUCGGGUGUAGAGGUUAAAUUCGUAGAUAUUCGGAGGAACACCAGUGGCGAAGGCGGCUCGCUCGUCUCUUGCUGACGCUGAGACGCGGAAUCGUGGGGAGCAAACAGG
rnacentral:rRNA from 1 species